CACACCUGCGUUUGCUUGCUGUGAAUGUUGAAUUGUAUAUUCCAUAGCAUUUGAUUUGGUACCCUUCUCUAUAAUUCUCAAAUUGACGCAUUAGUAGCAACUAUUGGAUCAUCUUUUAUAAAAAUAAUAGAGUGUAGAUAUUAAGGUUAUACACGAUGACAAUUGAUGGGAUGCAUUGAGAAAGAAGAAGCCAAACAGAUGAAAUAUAAGUCAAAUUAGAGACAUGUAGGCUGUUGUUGGGCAUGGUGGCGGGGCAAUUUCCAAUAUUAACAAACCAAAAGGGAAAACAAGAUGCAAAUUCCUGUGUCAACAAUAACCAAAAAUGUAUACCGUCAUGUUUAGGUUUUGAUGAAUUUUCAAAGUUUUGACUCCUCUUAGUGCAAAGAGAUUUAAUAAUCAAAGCCAAGAUAAGCAAUCUCUAUAUAAAUAUUUCAAUGAAAAUCCACAUACAUGCAAUGCAACCAUUAGAUAGCAUUAAAAAUGGAAGAUUUGUCAACCUUUACAUUUCAACUGCAUCAAUCAAGCACCAUUAUAAAUAAAACUUUCUUAAAAUUUGGAAAUGAAAUUAAUACGAAUUCGAAAUAAUUUUAUAUCUUUAGUGGGACAUAUGAUCAGCCAAUCUAUCACCCAUCAGGCAUAUAGCGAAGUGUACUUGCUCUUGCCAUGCUGGAGCAACCAUUUUCUAGUCUCUUCCCUUAGUGUCGUAAUGUUGUAUCAACAUUCAUGGAGUUAACAGAGAGUGUUGAGAUAUUGGAAAUGGAAGCAUCAGGAAAGAAAAAGAAAGGAUAUUAAUUAAUUUAUCUGAACAUUAGUAGGCGUCUAUAUAAGUGUUGGCUCAUUCUCUACCUGGCAUCCAUGCAUGUUCCCUUCCAUUUAUUCGGACCCGAGAAUGUUUAUCCUAUGUUCUAGUUCAAUCCUGCAGGUCAUUUUGCCCGAUGUGCCUCAUGUUCAUGUUUGGGUGCGAGAUUGAGACAAAUCAAGAACUGAGAACACCAUAAUCAGCUUCUAGUUGCAACUUCUAGGAAGCAAUCUUCUCAAGGAGAUUUGGCUGUCCUACCAAUCGCUUGUCUAGAAAGGGUACCCAAUCUUUCAAAUACUUGUGCUUCAAUGGCUCAACAAUCUGACACACUUCAAUAUACGAUCUUCCAUCUGACAGUACUGUCGGGAGUCUGGAAUCCCAAAUGUCAAAUUAGACAAGGCGUGCCGCAUAAACUGUGUUGACGUGCUGAAGGAAGUUGUUGACAUCUUCCAAAGGUUAGAGGGAAUGGGUAGCAAUGAUGUCGAGGUAUAGGAACGAGAUGUCUACAUGAGUAGCAAAUGAGCAGUAUGUUUAUCGCUGAAAAGGAUAUGCACUAUAUUAUCAUAGUUAGUUAUCUGCUGUUGAUACUGUAAUAAGUAACAUAUGAAUGUUUUCUACCAUUCCCUCAAAAAACAUACUCGCUCAGUCCCAUAAAGAGUGCAAUUCUAGUUUUUUUUCAAACAGAUUAAUGGUGGACUGGUGGCGUGAAAAGACACUCAUGCUCUGAUUUGUUGGCCAUAUGCAGUUAGUUUUGGUACACAAAUCAAAUUAGACCACAUAAUUAGGUAGGUAGUUGUGAUCCAAUUUCUAGGAUUGCACUAUUUUUGGGACCUUUUUCAAACCAGGAUUGCACUUUUCAUAGGAACAGGAUAGAGGGAGUGAAAUCGAAGCAAUGUUAGAAACUUAAUUGUAAAACAAAUGUUCCUAGCUACCUACCUAUCAUCCAUCCACCGUAUAAGAAGCUACUCUUGGCACGCGCUGCUCUCCACGCAUAAACAUUUCCUGCCCUCCCUUCCUCUGCAUAGCGACACUAUCAAUUUUCUUGAGAUGGUGUAAGAAGGCUGAGAAAAUUCAUCUGCCUAAAAACCAUCAAGAAAGCCCAGGUAUUGGGAUGGGAUGCACUGGGAUAGAAAAGAGGAGAUCUAGGGAUCCUGUGUUUCCAAUAGACAUGAUUUGUUGUCAUCGUUAUGUGGAACCUCGUCUCACGUCAAAUUGUGAUUCUUGGCAAUCCAGGGAAGCAAUGAGAGUUACUUCAAAAUUAGUUCCGUAAUAGAGGGGAUACAUUUCCUGCCUCCUUCCAUUGGCACACGUAAAGUCAGCAGCACAAUGCAAGUCCGAAAGGGUAGAGGGGACGAGAGUGACAAUGCGCACCAAGAACGAUGAUGAGGUAGGGGAAUGGGGUGCAUUUAGAAACCAGAGUACCUCUCAUGAAAAAUCCAAUGUGAUUAUGGGAUGUACAGUGAUAAUAUAUUUCUUCCUGUAGCAGUUGAAACUGAACUUCUGAGCAUAGCUAUGCUCGAAAUUCUUUUUGGGAGUGUUUGAGUCACUAAAAAUUUGACUUCCUAGUUUGGAAAUCUCAAUUGCUGCUAGACUACAACCACGUGUGUAGCUAUGAGAUUCUUGCUCUUGAGUGUGAGAUUACAAUGAGAAUCGCCCAUAUCACUGCAUUCAUGUUCUUUCUCCAGAAAAAUAGGUACUGUAAUUUUUUUAUUAUACAACAUAUGUUAUACAAGCAUUUUCUUUCCUACUUUCUUCCCUAUACAUUAGUAUGAUGAAUGGCUUAUCUGAUGUACUUUGACCAGAGUCAAAAUCUGAAGUGCAUUUGGAUUCUCUUAAACUACAUAUUCUAUUUUGUUGGACUCAGAUGCUGAAAAAAUUGAAGGGUGGAGAAGAUAACACCCAGGGAAGGCAAAGCUCUGCCUCAGAUUGGUGUUUUCAGAGCAUCGAUGGAUGCCUGGAAACCUUGCUCCUCGCCGCGGACUGAAUCCCCUCGCCUGAAUCUCAUCCGCCGGGCUCAACGUCGCUGCCUCUGCCGACCCGGGAUGCAUCCUCCACGCAGGGGUGCCGCUGCUGCGAUCCCCGCCGGCGAUGCCUGCUCAUCCUUCCGAUCCAUCUCCAUCUCUAGAUCUCUCUGUGCAUCUCCCUUUAAAUGAAAGAAAAAGACUGAAGCUUGCCUUGCUUUGCGCAGCCAUGCAGCGGCAUCCCGUGCGGAUUUUGUGGAGAUGGGCGCGGGAUGGCUAGCCAGUUGAGGUCUCAAGUUGCCGGUGGCGAGCGCGCAACCUCACUAGGAUGCCCUGUCGCCGGCCGAAACAUUUGGUAUACUUGCACUAGUAGCUAGAAUGAAGACAAUACAAGAACCAAGCAGCAAGGGACAUGACUGAUGUCUGAUAUAGGCAUACGCAUGGGAUGCAUUAGGGAAUAAAAUUGGUGUCAAACAAAUGCUUGUUCAUGUCGAAUAAUGUAUGCCAGCGCCGUGGAUCUUGGAUCAGACCCGGCUACUGCAAAUUCUUGGUGAUCCUGAAGAUUGAUGCAAGGGAACGAAGCGUGCAAUGAAGGCAGCAGAUAGAUGUGUAGGCAAAAUCGUGUGAAGGACAUGCAAUGAACUCCAGAUCUGCGAGAACCUGUCCGGGCCAUGAAGUGUGAAAGAAGGAACAACCAGACAAGCACUGUGAGAGCAGCGCUGCUCUGCACCGGAUUGAGGCUUGCUACCGUGGUAGUGAAAGAAAAUUUGAAGUAAUAUGUAAUUUUCAUAGUAUAAUUAAUACUGAAAUGAGUUUUUUUGCGAUAUUGGAGAAUUUAGUUGGAUUAUAUGGAAGAGACAAGCUAUGAAACUUGGGAUUUAAUUUGUUGCAUCGCUUUAACAUGCA